GUUUAGUGGCGGACGGGUGAGUAACGCGUGAGUAACCUGCCUUCAAGAGGGGGAUAACAUUCUGAAAAGAAUGCUAAUACCGCAUGACAUAUCGGAACCACAUGGUUUUGAUAUCAAAGAUUUUAUCGCUUGAAGAUGGACUCGCGUCCGAUUAGUUAGUUGGUGAGGUAACGGCUCACCAAGACCGCGAUCGGUAGCCGGACUGAGAGGUUGAACGGCCACAUUGGGACUGAGACACGGCCCAGACUCC
rnacentral:rRNA from 1 species